rnacentral:lncRNA from 1 species
UUUGGUUUUUGUUGCCCAGAUAGACAACCCAAGAGGGGGGGUGAAUUGGGUUUUAAAAUAAUUUGGCUAUUAAAUCUUUUGUGGAUAACUAAUUAAUUCUUUAGCGAGAUGAUUAAUUAGUUUCUAUGUGCGGUGAAUGAAAUGCGAGAGAUAGAGAGAGACAAACAAUCACAAACACAAUGUUUUAUAGUGGUUCGGAGCUAACCCUUGCUCCUACGUCCACUCCCCAAGUCUCACUUGGGAAUUCACUAUAACCCCUUGGAUUACAGCCGGUUGUUUUCCAAGCUCACAACCAAACU